UUUCCGUUGGUGAACCAGCGGAGGGAUCAUUACAGAGUUCCACAACUCCCAACCCCUGCUAACCGUACCCCAGUUUGUUCUCGUUUCCUCCUGGCGGCGGUCCCCCGGCGCCACCCCCGCGGCCCCCGCCAGCGGCGGCGACGGCCCGGACCCUUUUGUUCUCACCCAGCCCGUCUGAGCGUACAAACAGAGUAAUCAAAACUUGCAACAACGGAUCUCUUCGGUCUGGCAUCGUUGAAGAACGCAGCAGAACGGAAGAGCACACGACUGCACUCCACU
rnacentral:misc_RNA from 1 species